CUCACUAUCUCUUGGUGGUAUAAGGUGCAGAUGCAAUCAAGAUAUGCUAAAGAUUGUAAAAUAUGAGGGUUUCAUAAAGAUCUAACAGCAUUUGAUAAGUAAUGCUAAAAACAGAUGAGAAAAUG